GAUUGAAGAACGUAGCGAAAUGCGAUAAGUAAUGUGAAUUGCAGAAUUCAGUGAAUCAUCGAAUCUUUGAACGCACAUUGCGCCCGUCAGUAUUCUGGCGGGCAUGCCUGUUCGAGCGUCAUUACGCCCCUCAAGUCCCCUGUGGACUUGGUGUUGGGGAUCGGCGAGGCUGGUUUUCCAGCACAGCCGUCCCUUAAAUUAAUUGGCGGUCUCGCCGUGGCCCUCCUCUGCGCAGUAGUAAAACACUCGCAACAGGAGCCCGGCGCGGUCCACUGCCGUAAAACCCCCCAACUUUUUAUAGUUGACCUCGAAUCAGGUAGGACUACCCGCUGAACUUAAGCAUAUCAAUAAGCGGAGGA
rnacentral:misc_RNA from 1 species